AAAUUGAAGAGUUUGAUCAUGGCUCAGAUUGAACGCUGGCGGCAGGCCUAACACAUGCAAGUCGAGCGGUAGCACAGGAGAGCUUGCUCUCUGGGUGACGAGCGGCGGACGGGUGAGUAAUGUCUGGGAAACUGCCUGAUGGAGGGGGAUAACUACUGGAAACGGUAGCUAAUACCGCAUAACGUCUACGGACCAAAGUGGGGGACCUUCGGGCCUCACGCCAUCAGAUGUGCCCAGAUGGGAUUAGCUAGUAGGUGGGGUAAUGGCUCACCUAGGCGACGAUCCCUAGCUGGUCUGAGAGGAUGACCAGCCACACUGGAACUGAGACACGGUCCAGACUCCUACGGGAGGCAGCAGUGGGGAAUAUUGCACAAUGGGCGCAAGCCUGAUGCAGCCAUGCCGCGUGUGUGAAGAAGGCCUUAGGGUUGUAAAGCACUUUCAGCGAGGAGGAAGGGUAGUGUGUUAAUAGCACAUUGCAUUGACGUUACUCGCAGAAGAAGCACCGGCUAACUCCGUGCCAGCAGCCGCGGUAAUACGGAGGGUGCAAGCGUUAAUCGGAAUUACUGGGCGUAAAGCGCACGCAGGCGGUUUGUUAAGUCAGAUGUGAAAUCCCCGCGCUUAACGUGGGAACUGCAUUUGAAACUGGCAAGCUAGAGUCUUGUAGAGGGGGGUAGAAUUCCAGGUGUAGCGGUGAAAUGCGUAGAGAUCUGGAGGAAUACCGGUGGCGAAGGCGGCCCCCUGGACAAAGACUGACGCUCAGGUGCGAAAGCGUGGGGAGCAAACAGGAUUAGAUACCCUGGUAGUCCACGCUGUAAACGAUGUCGAUUUGGAGGUUGUGCCCUUGAGGCGUGGCUUCCGGAGCUAACGCGUUAAAUCGACCGCCUGGGGAGUACGGCCGCAAGGUUAAAACUCAAAUGAAUUGACGGGGGCCCGCACAAGCGGUGGAGCAUGUGGUUUAAUUCGAUGCAACGCGAAGAACCUUACCUACUCUUGACAUCCAGAGAAUUCGCUAGAGAUAGCUUAGUGCCUUCGGGAACUCUGAGACAGGUGCUGCAUGGCUGUCGUCAGCUCGUGUUGUGAAAUGUUGGGUUAAGUCCCGCAACGAGCGCAACCCUUAUCCUUUGUUGCCAGCGAUUCGGUCGGGAACUCAAAGGAGACUGCCGGUGAUAAACCGGAGGAAGGUGGGGAUGACGUCAAGUCAUCAUGGCCCUUACGAGUAGGGCUACACACGUGCUACAAUGGCGUAUACAAAGAGAAGCGAACUCGCGAGAGCAAGCGGACCUCAUAAAGUACGUCGUAGUCCGGAUUGGAGUCUGCAACUCGACUCCAUGAAGUCGGAAUCGCUAGUAAUCGUAGAUCAGAAUGCUACGGUGAAUACGUUCCCGGGCCUUGUACACACCGCCCGUCACACCAUGGGAGUGGGUUGCAAAAGAAGUAGGUAGCUUAACCUUCGGGAGGGCGCUUACCACUUUGUGAUUCAUGACUGGGGUGAAGUCGUAACAAGGUAACCGUAGGGGAACCUGCGGUUGGAUCACCUCCUUA
rnacentral:rRNA from 1 species